CAGUAAAUAGUUUAAUUAAAAUAUUAAUUUUGGGGAUUGAAGUUGAGAGCAUUCUUUUUACUGA
rnacentral:tRNA from 1 species